GCUGGGAGUGGUAGUGCACCCCUGUAAUCCCAGUGACCCAGGAGGCUGAGGCAGGAGGAUCACAAGUUCGAGGACAGCCUCAGCAAUUUAGCAAGACCUCAGUGACUUAGUAAGACCCUAUCUCAA
rnacentral:sRNA from 1 species